CCUGGCGGCUGUAGCGCGGUGGUCCCACCUGACCCCAUGCCGAACUCAGAAGUGAAACGCCGUAGCGCCGAUGGUAGUGUGGGGCCUCCCCAUGCGAGAGUAGGGAACUGCUAGGC
rnacentral:rRNA from 1 species